rnacentral:rRNA from 1 species
UACGUAGGGUGCAAGCGUUAAUCGGAAUUACUGGGCGUAAAGCGUGCGCAGGCGGCUUUGCAAGACAGAUGUGAAAUCCCCGGGCUUAACCUGGGAACUGCAUUUGUGACUGCAUGGCUGGAGUGCGGCAGAGGGGGGAUGGAAUUCCGCGUGUAGCAGUGAAAUGCGUAGAUAUGCGGAGGAACACCGAUGGCGAAGGCAAUCCCCUGGGCCUGCACUGACGCUCCAUGCACGAAAGCGUGGGGAGCAACAGG